GACGAACGCUGGCGGCGUGCUUAACACAUGCAAGUCGAACGGAAAGGCCCUGCUUUUGUGGGGUGCUCGAGUGGCGAACGGGUGAGUAACACGUGAGUAACCUGCCCUUGACUUUGGGAUAACUUCAGGAAACUGGGGCUAAUACCGGAUAGGAGCUCCUGCUGCAUGGGGGGGGUUGGAAAGUUUCGGCGGUUGGGGAUGGACUCGCGGCUUAUCAGCUUGUUGGUGGGGUAGGGGCUUACCAAGGCUUUGACGGGUAGCCGGCAUGAGAGGGUGACCGGCCACAUUGGUACUGAGAUAACGACCAGACUGAUCAGGGAGGCAGUAGUGGGGAAUAGUGCACAAUGGGCGGAAGGCUGAUGCAGCAACGCCGCGUGCGGGAUGACGGCCUUCGGGUUGUAAACCGCUUUCGCCUGUGACGAAGCGUGAGUGACGGUAAUGGGUAAAGAAGGACUGGCUAACUACGUG
rnacentral:rRNA from 1 species